rnacentral:tRNA from 2 species
GGGGCCUUAGCUCAGUUGGUAGAGCGCUGCCUUUGCAAGGCAGAUGUCAGGGGUUCGAAUCCCCUAGGCUCCAC